UACAGAGGUCUCAAGCGUUGUUCGGAUUCAUUGGGCGUAAAGGGUGCGUAGGCGGCACGGUAAGUCGGGUGUGAAAUCUCGGAGCUUAACUCCGAAAUUGCAUUCGAUACUGCCGUGCUUGAGGACUGGAGAGGAGACUGGAAUUUACGGUGUAGCGGUGAAAUGCGUAGAUAUCGUAAGGAAGACCAGUGGCGAAGGCGGGUCUCUGGACAGUUCCUGACGCUGAGGCACGAAGGUCAGGGGAGCAAACGGG
rnacentral:rRNA from 1 species